UCGACGGGAGGAAAGAGAAGCUUGCUUCUUUUUGAAUCUAGUGGCAAACGGGUGAGUAACACGUAAACAACCUGCCUUCAGGAUGGGGACAACAGACGGAAACGACUGCUAAUACCGAAUGUGUUCCGGAGACCGCAUGAUUUCCGGAAGAAAGGAUGGCCUCUAUUUAUAAGCUAUCGCCUGAAGAGGGGUUUGCGUCUGAUUAGGCAGUUGGUGAGGUAACGGCCCACCAAACCUACGAUCAGUAGCCGGUCUGAGAGGAUGAACGGCCACACUGGAACUGAGACACGGUCCAGACUCCUACGGGAGGCAGCAGUGGGGAAUCUUCCGCAAUGGACGAAAGUCUGACGGAGCAACGCCGCGUGAGUGAUGACGGCCUUCGGGUUGUAAAGCUCUGUGAUCGGGGACGAAUGGCUGGUAUGCUAAUACCAUAUCAGAGUGACGGUACCCGAAUAGCAAGCCACGGCUAACUACGUGCCAGCAGCCGCGGUAAUACGUAGGUGGCAAGCGUUGUCCGGAAUUAUUGGGCGUAAAGCGCGCGCAGGCGGCUUCUUAAGUCCAUCUUAAAAGUGCGGGGCUUAACCCCGUGAUGGGAUGGAAACUGGGAGGCUGGAGUAUCGGAGAGGAAAGUGGAAUUCCUAGUGUAGCGGUGAAAUGCGUAGAGAUUAGGAAGAACACCAGUGGCGAAGGCGACUUUCUGGACGACAACUGACGCUGAGGCGCGAAAGCGUGNGGAGCAAACAGGAUUAGAUACNCUGGUAGUCCACGCCGUAAACGAUGAAUACUAGGUGUA
rnacentral:rRNA from 1 species